CUGGAGCGGUGAACCGUGGCCAGUGGGAGCCGCGAUCAGCCGAACCCGCGGACAUGGCAGGAUAAAAUAAAUGAACAGUGCAUCUUAUUCCCUUGGGUGUUCAUUCAGAAAAUAAUGUAUUCCACAGAAGUGGAGGAGGAUGGAUCUGCACAGGUAACAAUCUGAGGUCUCCAAUUAGAGGAACUACAGCAACCUGCAUUGAUUCGACAG